rnacentral:rRNA from 1 species
AUUGAACGCUGGCGGCAUGCCUUACACAUGCAAGUCGAACGGUAACGGCCCUUCGGGUGCCGCCGAGUGGCGUACGGGUGAGUAAUACAUCGGAACGUGCCCGAUCGUGGGGGAUAACGGGGCGUAAGCUCUGCUAAUACCGCAUAAGAUCUAAGGUUGCAAGCUGGGAACCGCAAGCCCUUGCGCAGCCGGUUCGUCCGAUGGCAGAUUAGGUAGUCGGCGGGAGAAAAGUUUUCCAAGCCGACGAUCAGUAGCUCGUCUGAGAGGAUGAUCAGCAACAUGGGGACUGAGACACGGCCCAGACUCCGACGGGAGGCAGCAGUGGGGAAUUUUGGACAAGGGGGGCAAGCCUGAUACAGGCAUGCCGCGUGCAGGAUGAAGGCGUUCGGGUUGUAAACUGCUUUUGGACGGAACGAAAAGCAGUCUUUUAAUACAGGAGGGUCAUGACGGUACCGGAAGAAUAAGCACCGGCUAACUACGUG